GGUAUAGGUUUUCGGACCUAGAGACCGGCGCACGGGUGCGUAACGCGUAUGCAAUCUACCUUUUACAGAGGGAUAGCCCAGAGAAAUUUGGAUUAAUACCUCAUAGUAUUAUUGAAUGGCAUCAUUUAAUAAUUAAAGUCACAACGGUAAAAGAUGAGCAUGCGUCCCAUUAGCUAGUUGGUAAGGUAACGGCUUACCAAGGCAACGAUGGGUAGGGGUCCUGAGAGGGAGAUCCCCCACACUGGUACUGAGACACGGACCAGACUCCUACGGGAGGCAGCAGUGAGGAAUAUUGGUCAAUGGGCGCAAGCCUGAACCAGCCAUGCCGCGUGCAGGAUGAAGCAUCUAUGGUGUGUAAACUGCUUUUGUACGAGAAGAGACACUCCUUCGUGAAGGAGCUUGACGGUAUCGUAAGAAUAAGGACCGGCUAACUCCGUGCCAGCAGCCGCGGUAAUACGGAGGGUCCAAGCGUUAUCCGGAAUCAUUGGGUUUAAAGGGUCCGUAGGCGGUUUUGUAAGUCAGUGGUGAAAGCCCAUCGCUCAACGGUGGAACGGCCAUUGAUACUGCAAGACUUGAAUUAUUAGGAAGUAACUAGAAUAUGUAGUGUAGCGGUGAAAUGCUUAGAUAUUACAUGGAAUACCAAUUGCGAAGGCAGGUUACUACUAAUAUAUUGACGCUGAUGGACGAAAGCGUGGGGAGCGAACAGGAUUAGAUACCCUGGUAGUCCACGCCGUAAACGAUGGAUACUAGCUGUUCGGAGCAAUCUGAG
rnacentral:rRNA from 1 species